AUCCGAUGCAUUCACGAAAGAUUAAUUACAAUGAAAGCAGAGAUAGAGCUUUUCAAAUAGACAAUUAAACCAUUUGUUGGAGAUGAAGAAAACAUGUGCAUUUUGAAUAUUAUGUUUUUUAUUAUUAUUAUUUCAGUCUGCUGGAUCUCCCUCUUAAAAUAUAUAUUUAAACUCCUGUCUUAAGAAUUCCUGCUUUAAAAUGGAUGCUCAGAAUAUUCAACGUUAGUUCUGCGGAUAUGUAUUCUUUACUCUAAAUGUGUCUAUACUUAUUAC